UACGUAGGCGGCAAGCGUUGUCCGGAUUUAUUGGGCGUAAAGCGCGCGCAGGCGGCUAUGUAAGUCUGGUGUUAAAGCCCGGGCUCAACCCCGGUUCGGCAUCGGAAACUGUGUAGCUUGAGUGCAGAAGAGGAAAGCGGUAUUCCACGUGUAGCGGUGAAAUGCGUAGAGAUGUGGAGGAACACCAGUGGCGAAGGCGGCUUCUGGUCUGUAACUGACGCUGAGGCGCGAAAGCGUGGGGAGCAAACAGG
rnacentral:rRNA from 1 species